rnacentral:rRNA from 1 species
GAUGAACGCUGGCGGCGUGCUUAACACAUGCAAGUCGAACGAUGAAGCCCAGCUUGCUGGGUGGAUUAGUGGCGAACGGGUGAGUAACACGUGAGUAACCUGCCCUUAACUCUGGGAUAAGCCUGGGAAACUGGGUCUAAUACCGGAUAGGAGCGUCCACCGCAUGGUGGGUGUUGGAAAGAUUUAUCGGUUUUGGAUGGACUCGCGGCCUAUCAGCUUGUUGGUGAGGUAAUGGCUCACCAAGGCGACGACGGGUAGCCGGCCUGAGAGGGUGACCGGCCACACUGGGACUGAGACACGGCCCAGACUCCUACGGGAGGCAGCAGUGGGGAAUAUUGCACAAUGGGCGCAAGCCUGAUGCAGCGACGCCGCGUGAGGGAUGACGGCCUUCGGGUUGUAAACCUCUUUCAGUAGGGAAGAAGCGAAAUUGACGGUACCUGCAGAAGAAGCACCGGCUAACUACGUG